CUUCUGUGAUGCUGCUGCUUGUGAGUGAGCAUAUGUGUGUGAGAGCAGGCACAUACAUACAUACAUACAUACACACACACGC
rnacentral:miRNA from 1 species